rnacentral:rRNA from 3 species
UUUGUCUCUUAAAUGGAGACCUGUAUGAAUGGCAACACAUUUUCUAACUGUCUCUUUUCUUCCCCCUCUAAACUCCUAUUAAUGUGAAGAAACAUUAAUAAAAAAGAAAGACGAGAAGACCCUGUCGAGCUUCAGCUCCCUAAAGAAAAUAAAAUUCUCCCAAGAAACCCUUAAAUCCCCUAAGGAGCUUUGGUUGGGGCAACCAUGGAAGAAAAAAAACCUCCAGUUAAACUUCACCAAGACCAUCAGUCAAACACAACUAAAAUUAAAACAAAGAACCGGAAUUCCCGGAAAACAGAAAAAGUUACCGCAGGGAUAACAGCGUAAUCUCCUUUAAGAGUUC